rnacentral:rRNA from 1 species
GACGAACGCUGGCGGCGUGCUUAACACAUGCAAGUCGAACGGUGAAGCGCCUUCCUUUUUGGUGGGUGUGGAUGAGUGGCGAACGGGUGAGUAACACGCGAGUAACCUGCCCCCUUCUUCUGGAUAACCGCAUGAAAGUGUGGCUAAUACGGGAUAUUCUGGGUCUGUCGCAUGAUGGGUCUGGGAAAGAUAUUGUUUCGGUGGGGGAUGGGCCCGCGGCCUACCAGCUUGUUGGUGGGGUGAUGGCCUACCAAGGCGGUGACGGGUAGCCGGCCUGAGAGGGUGGACGGUCACACUGGGACUGAGACACGGCCCAGACUCCUACGGGAGGCAGCAGUGGGGAAUAUUGCACAAUGGGCGCAAGCCUGAUGCAGCGACGCCGCGUGAGGGAUGGAGGCCUUCGGGUUGCGAACCUCUUUCGCCAGUGAAGCAGGCCUGCCUCGUUUGUGGGUGGGUUGACGGUAGCUGGAUAAGAAGCGCCGGCUAACUACGUG